rfam:Triticum aestivum genome assembly, contig: Triticum_aestivum_CS42_TGACv1_scaffold_514788_6BS
UUUCUACUCCCUCCGUCUGAAAAUACUUGUCAUCAAAAUGGAUAAAAAUAGAUGUAUCUAAAACUAAAAUACGUCUAGAUACAUUUCCUUUUAUCCAUUUUGAUGACAAGUUUUUCCGGAUGGAGGGAGUAUUUG